rnacentral:rRNA from 1 species
UUUGAAAGGGAAACGAUUGAAGUCAGUCGUACCUGCGGGUAAUCAGCCUUUUGGGCAUGAUUCUGUGGAGCGUGAGGAGUUAAACGCCUUCAUGCCUGCAUAUUCGUGUACUUUGGGUGUACUUGCCUGUGUGGUUAGUUAACAUCAAUUUUGGUUAUCAUAAAAUGGCUGGAGGAAUGUAGCUUCGAUUUCGAUUGAAGUGUUAUAGCCUUCGGCAGAUGUGAUGAUCGGGAUUGAGGAUUGCAACGGAUACCCUUCGGGGCUACCUGUCUGGUCUCUGAUCGUUGCUCUGGUGCCGAAAGCGUGCUUACGGUUAUCAAAGUCGAUGGUCAAUAGGUUAGAACGGGUUAAAUUCGUUAAGGAUGUUGACGUA